ACUUGACAGGAAGGCUUUCCUUGAGCAACGAGUUUCUUCAUUUUUGGUCUAAAGACCAAACUUUGGUUUGAAGAAAAGUUGCUGGCACAAAAUGUGCAUCCAUUUUAACUUUGACUUCUCCUUUUUCAUAUGGAAAGUCUCUCUUCUUCUCUUUUGAAUUUUGUUACCUUUCUUCUUCUUUGUUUUGGGCUUAUGUUGCUCUUGGGUUCUUCAAUAGCCGCAACGCAGGAGGCUUCUUAGCCUGAAAUUGACUCAUAUCAUUUGAGAGGACCAUCAUACUGCCAAUUGAGGUGCUGGCUUUGUUUUGUUUCAGUUGCUUCAUAUUUUGCAAGCAACAAAGUGAGAAUCUUUUGCAAUUUGUUGCAGAGGAGUGUUGUCUUAGUGACCUUCAUGGGUGUGAAUCAUCAACUUCUCACAUUUUGCCACCCGUUCUUUCUCCAAUUUGCAGAUUUGGAAUUUUGCUCUGCUGAAGGUGGGUUGGGCAUAUAACAAAGCGUCUGGACUAUUGAUGUUUUCUGUUUUUGGUACUCAAGAACACUCGCAAGGUCUUCUCUGAGUACCACAAUGUGCCUAUGGACACUCACAAGGUGUUCACAGCACUUGUACAGUGGGGUUCUUGCAGAAGCCCAUCUGUAAUUCACAACAGAGAGGUCCUUGUGAGAGCUCUCUUUGUGUAAGUAGCACAGCUAUUGCCAAUUUGGGAGGAUUUGUUUGCAUUUUUCCACUGCUGAAGUCUCCGUUGAUAUGAUACAUUUCUUGAUAUCACACAUGGAGGAAGUUCAGGCUUCUGUACAAUGGCCUCACAUACAUAUUUUUUUACCUGCAAGUCAAUUGUACAUAAAAGGAUACUCAAAUGAAUUUGUUUAUACCUUCUCAAUGGUAUUGUGACAGAGCUUCGUAUGUCUUUUGCUUGCUUCUAUUCUUUGGAUUUAUGCAACAGUUCGAUGUGUUCUUUUUUUUUUCCUUCCUAUGGAUUUCUGCAGCAGUUUGGUACUUUUUUUUCUUCUUCGUCGUCCCCCCUUUUUUUGCAUCCUUUGGUCCCUUUUUAUAGACCAAGAGGAACUGACAUAAUGGAGUCAGUUAUCGCCUCACGUACUAUAUGGGUGGGAGUAACUUCCCAUUUUCAGUCACUCCUCAACGUACAUGUUCUGUUACUGCUUAAUAUUUUCUUGUAAAAAUAUUAAUAUUAAUUCAUUUGGGCCUAAACCAAUUUAGCAACA